UUUCCCUUUCCCUAUUUUCCCUCUCUUCCACGAAUCUCUCUCUCUCUCUCUCACUACUGUGUUGCUUCAGCUAGGCCCGAACGGUCGUCGUCCCAUCGCUGGAGCCGUACAUGUGCCAGCCAAGUCGAACCACUAGCCCUCGAAACGUUGACCCCCACGAGCUCACCACGGUACGCACCGCCCAGGGCUGUCAACCAACAGUCCGAAGCCGUCCGCCUCCUGCACUUUCUGGCAAGAUUCUGACUACCCCGAGCCUCCCCAAGCCUAACCAGCAUCACCACCAUACUCCUCGUGGUCUAAGCUUCAAAACCCACCAAAGGAUCGGCCUCACUAGUGGUUGGAAAAAGAAAGGGUAUUAGUCGGAAUCCAUGGAGGUCCGAAGCUUGUAGUGGAACCACCGCCGUUGUCACCAUUAGAUAGGGGGAAGAUCUCAUCAUAGCGAAUUUGGGGGAUUCAAGGGCUGUUUUGCGAACUAAGAACUAGAUGUGUGUAUGUAUAUACAUAUAUAUAUAUAUAUAUAUAUAUGUGUGUGUGUGUGUGUGUGCAUGCAGGAUUUUUGCAGACUUCCAGAAACGUUUUCAUCCUAAUUCCCAAAUCUAUAUACCAAUUCCAACAUGGUCCAACCAUCAUAACAUUUGGAGAGAUGCCCAAGUUCCUCAGAGGACUUUGCAUUACUAUCACCCAGAAUCUAAGGGGUUAGAUUUUGAUGGACUGGUGGAUGACAUUAAGGUAAGUUAAUGUACAUUCUCAAAAAUAAUUAUUAAGCUUUAUACACAAAUUUCAAUCAGCAAAAUUUGUUUACUCUAAUCUAAUGGCCAGCCUGCCAAACCUACUUAUAAUGUCUAUAGUCUUAACUGCAAAAACGAAUUGCACUACAUCACAAUCACAAAUAUUUUAGGCGUGGUUUGAUUUUGUUUCUCUACACCAGCACAAAUUAGCAGAUACUUCUUUUAACUAUGGACGGUAGAAGUGUAAUCUAUAUAUAUAUUAAAUAUAUGUAUGUAGGAAGCUAGUAUAUUCUGGUGUAUGAUCACUCAUCAUAAUUAAAGUAUCCAAUUCUUAUUGGGUAAUAUUUAUUUUGUGUGAAUGAUGUAUGUAUCUAUCUGGUUCUUGUAUAUAGAAAAAGUAAAAAGGUAGUCAGAUCAGAUCAUUAUCGUUGGAAAAAUAAAGGCGCACAUUGAUGAGGGGAGAGCACAUAUAUCAUUGUUGUCCCUGAUGUCACCUACCAUCGUCUCACUCCCAAAGACCAAUUCAUGGUUCUCACCACUGAUGGGGUUUGGGAUGUGUUGAUGAAUGGUCUGCGAUUUUCCUCUUCUUUCAGAAUUAACAUUAUCCUGGUUUGAAGACUUGAGAUGUUUUUGUUGCACUGUUAUUUGUUUCAAUCAAAAUAAUGGGCAUGCUUGCCUCUGUCUAUGCUUUGCUUUGUCUUUUGUUUCAACCAACAGUCGGAAACUUGUCUUUGUCUAUUAACAGGAAAUAUUAAUGAAAGUUAUUUCUUAUAAACCUUUAUAGGAACCAGCCGCCCCACACAUUACCAUGUCUUGUUUGAUGAGAACAAGUUCAAUGCUAAUACCUUGCAAGUUCUCACGAACAAUCUCUGCUACACGGAAAUACUAUUCAUUUUUAUUUUUUGUUCUCCAAUUUCAACAUUCUAUUGUGAACUAUUUUUGUUGGGCCUGUUCUUGACCUGAAUUUGGUUUUUCAGGUAUGCAAGGUGCACCAGAUCAGUCUCCAUCGGUAUGCCCUGUGUUGCACUAUCCCGAAUACUAUGGUAUAAAUUCCUAUCCCGAGCCCGUUGCACUAUCCCGAGCGCUAUGGUAUAAAUUCCUAUCUCAGAUUCUAAUUAUUUUAAGUUUUAAAAUUAUUUGUGAGUUAGGAAACUAAAAUGUAAUUGUGUAUGUUCACAGUAUAUUGAGAGUUAAUUAGUAUAAUGAGUUGAUCUGUGAUUUUAUUGGUGAUUUUAUUGGACUGCUCUGGGACUGUCAUAUGCCUUGUUUGCAGGUUUUUAAAAUUUGGAGAUGUCUGAUUUGCAGCUGUUGUGCUGCUCCCUUUUCUAGAAAUUUAUGGACUCUUGUCUAGUUACUUUGCAACUCUAGUCUUAUUCACAACUUGUUGUGUUGCUUUAACAACUUUGAAUUAGAUUUAUAAAUUUGGAUUAGUCUAUUUCACAACUUGUUGUGUUGCUUUAACAACUUUGUCUGGUAUGCUUGUUAUGUUACUUUAACAAAUGUUAUUUGGUAUGCUUGUGUUUCAUAUUAAUGAUCUAUUAUAUUUAUGUUCUCGGUGCUCUUAUUUAUAACUAUAUUAUCUUUUUUUUUUCUUGCUAAGUACUAUGGACUUAGAAUCUGAAGCAUCUAUCUUGUUUGAUAAGAAAAAUACAACUUUUAUAUAAAUCAUUUUUGUGACUAAAGAUCAGUCAUCCGUUUUAUUUCUUCUGCAACCUCAAGUUCUCUAUUUAUUUUAGUUUUGGUUUGACUUUAAUGGUGUUUAUUCUGUAUUGUUGGCUAAAACUCUACUUGGAUAUUUAAGAGAACCAAGAUAAUUAUUUAAGAGAACCAAGGCAACAAGAAAUUGUUCAAGUUGUUGGGUAUUAUUUUCUUUCUUGCUUGUAAGAAUUAUGUACAUUGAGGAUUUGAUGUAUUAUUUACAUUGAGAAUAAUGAAUUUUUAUUGAGAAUUAUAAUAAUUUUUUAUUGAGAA